rnacentral:rRNA from 1 species
CCCUUAGACGUUCUGGGCCGCACGCGCGCUACACUGACCAGUGCAACAAGCAUCCGUCCUUGGCCGACAGGCCCGGGCAAUCUUUGAACGCUGGUCGUGAUGGGGAUAGACUUUUGCAAUUUUUGGUCUUCAACGAGGAAUUCCUAGUAAACGCAAGUCAUCAACUUGCAUUGAUUACGUCCCUGCCCUUUGUACGCACCGCCCGUCGCACCUACCGAUUGAAUGGUCCGGUGAAGCCUCCGGAUUGGCGCGCACCUCGGUGCCGCCGAGAAGUUGGCUAAACCUUACCAUUUAGAGGAAGGUGAANUCGUANCA